UGCUCUGCGGCCUCCACAUCCCAGGGGAGCCCCCAGAAGUGGCCCGCACCUUUCCCCGCCCGCCCUCCUGGGGAAGGUGUGUGUCGUGUGCACCAAGGCUCCGGUCCACACCCUCCGCGGAGCCAUCUCGGCAGCCCUCCCAGGACCCGGCUUCGGCCGAUCCCCGCCUGGAGAUGCCAUACGGGCUUCUGUUCAGGGUCAGGCAACCUGGAACUGCAUUUGAAGUGAUUCUGAAUAUAUAGCAAGAAGAGAAGAGUGUACCAGACAUGGCUCAUUGGCUUCCCUUCCACAGGUGGGUGGUGAUGGGGUGUGGAGAGUGUGGCUUGCAGCUCAGUGGCUUGUUUUUAAUUCACUGACCACAUAAGGAACACCGCCAUCCAUGCAGCUUGCUUCAGAGUCGCAGCCCUCACCAACUGUGAGGUCACAUCUCUCAGAAGGCAGCCAUCUACCUUAAGUAACAGCUUUGAGAUGCUUGUCAGUGAGACCACAUCUGUGAUUUGGAGAGCUGCCACUGGUGCUUUGUGCUGUCCUGUUCCUUCUGGGACUCCAGGAGAGGAGGCAGUAAAAAAAACCUCAAUGUUUGUACAUUUAGAAAACCUAAUAUAAUGCAUUUUAUACCAUAUUGUUAUAUCCCCCCCUCUUCAUUUUCCAAACCUAGUCAUUUGUCCCUUCUGUCACUAACUGAGCCAUCUGGAAUGACAAAUUUCACUUCAGGUUACCUGAAAGUAAACUUUCUCCUUUCCAAUUUGAUUCCUCCCUCCCAACAUCUGCUGAAUGAAUGACUCUGUGGUGUAAGUCACGAUAUUAGGCAUAAUAAAGAGGAGGACAAUGCCUAG